UUGCUUGAAUCCGCCCCAGUGCUUGUUACAGUGCGGCACAGCAGUCCAUCUUUGCAGUAGGAAAGUGAGAACUGGUUUAAUGAUGCUGCCCAGCCUAGCACACGUACAAGAUCACUUGGACCCACCAACUGGAAGACAGAAGGAACACGGAAGAUGGGAAGGAAGCAGCUCCAACUUGGCCCCUUUUAAGUCUGAGUCACGCCAUGGGGAAUACCAGCAGCUAGCUUAGCUUCCAAAGAUUCUGCUUUAUGACGCUGGGGAUAAAUAUCUGCAAAUUGCUCAUCAAUGAGUUGAAGCUUCUCAGCUAUGAAAAAAGAUUAUAUCGUCACACAAAUAUCUUCCAGAUACACCCCUUCCUCUCCACGCAAACAACCACCAUUCUGUACAAGCUCUGGGAAGAAAACAGAAAGUGAAUAUUCAUAGCCACAUCGGCGGAGAUGAUCUGCCACCAAGCUAUUUGAGGCUCCAAUUAGC